AUUGAACGCUAGCGGGAUGCCUUACACAUGCAAGUCGAACGGCAGCACGGACUUCGGUCUGGUGGCGAGUGGCGAACGGGUGAGUAAUGUAUCGGAACGUGCCCAGUAGCGGGGGAUAACUACGCGAAAGCGUAGCUAAUACCGCAUACGCCCUUCGGGGGAAAGCAGGGGAUCGCAAGACCUUGCACUAUUGGAGCGGCCGAUAUCGGAAUAGCUAGUUGGUGAAGGUAAUGGCUCACCAAGGCCGCGAUCCGUAGCUGGUUUGAGAGGACGGCCCGCCACAGUGGGACUGAGACACGGCCCAGACUCCUCCGGGAGGCAGCAGUGGGGAAUUUUGGACAAUGGGGGAAACCCUGAUCCAGCCAUCCCGCGUGUGCGAUGAAGGCCUUCGGGUUGUAAAGCACUUUUGGCAGGAAAGAAACGGCGCGUGUUAAUACCAUGCGCAACUGACGGUACCUGCAGAAUAAGCACCGGCUAACUACGUGCCAGCCGCCGCAGUAA
rnacentral:rRNA from 1 species